rnacentral:rRNA from 1 species
AUUCCAGCUCCAAUAGCGUAUAUUAAAGUUGUUGCAGUUAAAAAGCUCGUAGUUGAACUUCGGAACCGGUCGAUUGGUCCGUCCUCUGGAUUGUGUACUGAUCGAUCUGUUCUUCUUCGCGAAGACCGCGUGUGCCCUUAACUGGGUGUGCACGGGAUUCACGACGUUUACUUUGAAAAAAUUAGAGUGUUCAAAGCAGGCAUUCGCUUGAAUAUCUCAGCAUGGAAUAAUAGAAUAGGACUUUGGUCUUAUUUUGUUGGUUUCCGAGACCGAAGUAAUGGUUAAUAGGGACAGUUGGGGGCAUUCGUAUUUCAUUGUCAGAGGUGAAAUUCUUGGAUUUAUGAAAGACGAACUUCUGCGAAAGCAUUUGCCAAGGAUGUUUUCAUUA